CCUACGGGAGGCAGCAGGCGCGCAAAUUACCCAAUCCUGACACGGGGAGGUAGUGACAAUAAAUAACAAUACCGGGCGCUUUAGUGUCUGGUAAUUGGAAUGAGUACAAUCUAAAUCCUAUCGAGAAGGAUCCAGUUGGAGGGCAGUCUGGUGCCAGCAGCCGCGGUAAU
rnacentral:rRNA from 1 species